UAAGCUCCAUGUAAGCCCUUAAAUAUAAAGUCCAUAGAUCGAGAUGAGGGCGAAACGUUUGCGAGGCUGGAGCGAUGACAGCCAUGGCGGCGCCCCUGGAGGUAUGUGCUGAAAUGAUUCAGGAAGUAUUCACUCUUCUGGUAGAUUUCGCAGGAUUAUUGAGAGUGCUGGUAUCUGGCAAGGUGAACGAGGCAAUGAAGGUGGGUUUUCCCUGCUUCUUUCUGCGAUUUGGAAGUAAUAUGGCAUGUGUUCUUCUGUUGUAGCGCAAACCGAGACGGCGACUGGACCCGCUGUCUGGAAAUGUUAUCGUGAAACUUUUUGAGAGUUACUUCGAGGAAGCACUACUCUGACGGGGUAUGAAUGGUACGUGACGAGCUUUGUUCCUGUUUUUUUCCUUCGUGUGAUGAUAGGCGUAUCCUUGUGGAAACUAUCUAUCCAUCUGACGUUGCGGAUUCCUCGACUGGACUAGAUUCGGCGGUUCGAGCAGAAGCUUUAUAUGCGUUACAGCAGCUAAAGAGAAGUCGGGAUUCAACGUUAAGCAUUUUGUACAGAUACUCGGGGUUUUACCGCCUUCAUGCCAUUUCACGAACAUCUAGAGGAUCGGCUACAUGAACUCACUGCUUCAGACGCUUAAGGUAAUUACUUUUAUCUCUUAUCCUUUUGUUGGUUUUUCCACAGUUGUGAUUCAGGCAGUGUACCAUAUGCCUACGACCAAGAAUGCUGUUCCCAUUCACUGGCCUUGCAGAGCCUCUUUGGCAAGCUGCAAUAUAGUGGUGCUGUAGGAAAACUUU
rnacentral:lncRNA from 1 species